AAAUCUCCUAAAUAUUAUUGAAUAGAUUCCCGCCAAACGCAGUAUUUUACGAUACAAUAUAAAAAGCACUCUUGAGUACGUGAAUGAUUUCAGGUGCUACUUAAAAAUUUUUAAGAAAUUA
rnacentral:rRNA from 1 species